rnacentral:miRNA from 1 species
GAGAGAGAGAGAGAGAGAGAGAGAGAGAGAGAGAGAGAGAGAGAGAGAGGUGAAGGUGAAUUAUGUAAUGGUGAUGCAAGUUCCAAACUUUGCAAGUACAUUUAAAAAGAGGAAAGGAAAGGAUUAAUUAGCAAAGAGAAUAGGCAAGAAAUGCAUGCCAUUCGGCUCUCAAUUAACCAGAAUUGCAUGAACAUUUUCAUCUCUUAGAAAACGGUUUAACAUGACAUCACAAAACUAUGCAUCUCUCUCUCUCUCUCUCUCUCUCUCUCUCUCUCUCUCUCUCUCUCUCUCU